rnacentral:tRNA from 1 species
GUUUAAAUAGCUUAUAUAGAGAGCAUAACAUUGAAGCUGUUAAGGAAACUUUUGUUUUUAAAUA